ACAACUAGUUUGAGCCUAAGGCCUAAAUUGGAUCAAUACAAAACCGGUCCUGGAAUGUAUGUAACAGACUCGAACCGAAGAAGCUUAUCUCAUAAGCUGCAGCUGAAUCGAAAAUGCCUCUUCAAUAAUCUCCAAGAUGCAACAACAAUGGUGUCCGUUUCAGUAUCACGAUCAUGGAUUUGGAUUCUUCGUAUCGGUAUCAUCUUCGAGGAUGUGUCUUCUCCACGCCUCAAAGUUCAUGGGUUUAUGCUUGGAACAUUUGAAUCAUAGCAAGGAGAAGGACAAAUACUUACCAGAUUCUUGAGCUCCGGCACGGUGCUCCUUGGUGACGCACCAGGUGGAGGUGUAAGGACCUUGGAAGGAGCAUAUGGAACAAGUGGAUGGCAAGCAAGCUCAAGACUAAAGCCAUUCUUCCAUUCAUGGCUAAUGUAACAUGAUGUAAUAGUAGGAUUUGUAUGGACCUUGUAGAAACACUAAAAUGUAAUGAAAGCUAUUUUUGUUCUAAUCGACUUUGGUUUGGCUUUGUUAA